CCUACGGGAGGCAGCAGUGAGGAAUAUUGGUCAAUGAACGAGAGUCUGAACCAGCCAAGUAGCGUGAAGGAUGACUGCCCUAUGGGUUGUAAACUUCUUUUAUAUGGGAAUAAAAUGUUCCACGUGUGGGAUUUUGUAUGUACCAUAUGAAUAAGGAUCGGCUAACUCCGUGCCAGCAGCCGCGGUAAUACGGAGGAUCCGAGCGUUAUCCGGAUUUAUUGGGUUUAAAGGGAGCGUAGGUGGAUUGUUAAGUCAGUUGUGAAAGUUUGCGGCUCAACCGUAAAAUUGCAGUUGAAACUGGCAGUCUUGAGUACAGUAGAGGUGUGCGGAAUUCGUGGUGUAGCGGUGAAAUGCUUAGAUAUCACGAAGAACUCCGAUUGCGAAGGCAGUUCACUGGACUGCAACUGACACUGAGGCUCGAAAGUGUGGGUAUCAAACAGGAUUAGAUACCCCAGUAGUC
rnacentral:rRNA from 1 species